rnacentral:rRNA from 1 species
AUUGAACGCUGGCGGCAGGCCUAACACAUGCAAGUCGAGCGAGCGGCGGACGGGUGAGUAAUGUAUGGGGACUGCCCGAUAGAGGGGGAUAACUACUGGAAACGGUGGCUAAUACCGCAUACUAUCGGAUAACCCAUAUGGGAUUAGAUAGUAGGUGGGGUAAAGGCGUACCUAGGCGACGAGCCAUAGCUGGUCUGAGAGGAUGAUCAGCCACAAUGGGAUUGAGACACGGCCCAGACUCCGACGGAGGCAUCAGUGGGGAAUAUUGCACCAUGUGGUCAAGCAUGAUGCAGCCAUGCCGCGUGUAUGAAGAAGGCCUUAGGGUUGUAAAGUACUUUCAGCGGGGAGGCGUGACCCGCAGAAGAAGCACCGGCUAACUCCGUACCAGCCUCCGCGGUAAUUC